rnacentral:lncRNA from 1 species
UAAAAGCUAAAUUAUAUGAAACAAUCGUUUAUCUCUUGAAGCUUAAGCUAUUGGUGAUCAUAAGCGGUGGUUUUGCAUAAUUUAAUAUGAUAUCAGAGAAUAAAUAUUUUUAUAUCUUUAUAUUUAACAUUUUCUCUCACGUCUGGACUUAAGACUUUUUGAUAGGCCCGAUCACAUGUACUUAAAUUAAAUAGAAGAAAAUUAAUUAUAUUAGAAGGCUAGCAGGACGCGAACUGAAAACCUCCAUCUCUGAUAUCAUGUGAUAUUAUAUGAAACAACCGUUGACGGUAAGACAUCAUGGAUAAGAUGUAGGAGGAUC